CUAAUUUUAACAUGUAAGAUGACUGAAAACACAUUGCCAUCUACAAGGGGAUCAGAGGAGAUGAGUUUGUAUGACAGUUAUACACUGAAUGUACAAAACACUGACACAGACUGACCAGGUGAAUGAUCCCUUAUUGAUCUCACCUGUUAAAUACAUUUCAAUCAGUGUAGAUGAAGGGGAGGAGACAGGUUAAAUAAGGAUUAGAUGAAGAGGAGGAGACAGGUUAAAUAAGGAUUAGAUGAAGAGGAGGAGACAGGUUAAAUAAGGAUUAGAUGAAGAGGAGGAGACAGGUUAAAUAAGGAUUAGAUGAAGAGGAGGAGACAGGUUAAUUAAGGAUUAGAUGAAGAGGAGGAGACAGGUUAAUUAAGGAUUAGAUGAAGAGGAGGAGACAGGUUAAAUAAGGAUUAGAUGAAGAGGAGGAGACAGGUUAAAUAAGGAUUAGAUGAAGAGGAGGAGACAGGUUAAUGAAGGAUUAGAUGAAGAGGAGGAGACAGGUUAAAGAAGGAUUAGAUGAAGAGGAGGAG